rnacentral:rRNA from 1 species
GACGUAGGAAGCAAGCGUUGUCCGGAAUUACUGGGCGUAAAGAGCUCGUAGGCGGGACCGUAAGUCCGAGAGGAAAUCUCAAGGCUCAACUUUGGGGCUUUCUUGGAUACUGCGGUUCUUGAGGAUGAGAGAGGUAAGUAGAAUUCCCGGUGUAGCGGUGAAAUGCGUAGAUAUCGGGAGGAAUACCAGUGGCGAAGGCGGCUUACUGGCUCAUUCCUGACGCUGAGGAGCGAAAGCGUGGGGAGCAAACGGG